GACGAACGCUGGCGGCGUGCUUAACACAUGCAAGUCGAGCGGAAAGGCCCUUCGGGGUACUCGAGCGGCGAACGGGUGAGUAACACGUGAGUAACCUGCCCUUGGCUCUGGGAUAGCUCCGGGAAACCGGAAUUAAUACCGGAUAUGACCUCGGCCGACAUCGGCUGUGGUGGAAAGAUUUAUCGGCCAGGGAUGGGCUCGCGGCCUAUCAGCUAGUUGGUGGGGUAACGGCCUACCAAGGCGACGACGGGUAGCCGGCCUGAGAGGGCGACCGGCCACACUGGGACUGAGACACGGCCCAGACUCCUACGGGAGGCAGCAGUGGGGAAGUAUUGCGCAAUGGGCGAAAGCCUGACGCAGCGACGCCGCGUGGGGGAUGAAGGCC
rnacentral:rRNA from 1 species